AUUGAACGCUGGCGGAAUGCUUUACACAUGCAAGUCGAACGGCAGCACGGGUGCUUGCACCUGGUGGCGAGUGGCGAACGGGUGAGUAAUACAUCGGAACGUACCCAGUUAUGGGGGAUAACUAACCGAAAGGUUAGCUAAUACCGCAUACGCCCUGAGGGGGAAAGCGGGGGACCGUAAGGCCUCGCGUAAUUGGAGCGGCCGAUGUCUGAUUAGCUAGUUGGUGAGGUAAAGGCUCACCAAGGCGACGAUCAGUAGCAGGUCUGGGAGGAUGAUCUGCCACACUGGAACUGAGACACGGUCCAGACUCCUACGGGAGGCAGCAGUGGGGAAUUUUGGACAAUGGGCGAAAGCCUGAUCCAGCCAUUCCGCGUGAGUGAAGAAGGCCUUCGGGUUGUAAAGCUCUUUCGGCAGGGAAGAAACGCUCUGGAAUAAUACUCCGGGGUAAUGACGGUACCUGAAGAAGAAGCACCGGCUAACUACGUGCCAGCCGCCGCGGUAA
rnacentral:rRNA from 1 species